rnacentral:rRNA from 1 species
UACGGGGGGGGCAAGCGUUGCUCGGAAUUACUGGGCGUAAAGGGCGCGUAGGCGGGAUGGCAAGUCGGUCGUGAAAUCCUUCGGCUCAACCGAAGAACGACGAUCGAUACUGCUGUUCUUGAGGGUUGCAGAGGAGACUGGAAUUCCCGGUGUAGCGGUGAAAUGUGUAGAGAUCGGGAGGAACACCGGUGGCGAAGGCGGUUCUCUGGGACGGUACUGACGCUGAGACGCGAAAGCGUGGGGAGCGAACAGG